rnacentral:rRNA from 1 species
GAGCACGUAGGUGGGUUUGUAAGUCAGAUGUGAAAGCCUUCUGUUCAAAGGAAGAACGGCAUCUGAAACUGCAGAUCUUGAGUGUAGGAGGGGAGAGUGGAACUUCUGGUGGAGCGGUGAAAUGCGUAGAUAUCAGAAGGAACGUCGGCGGCGAAAGCGACUCUCUGGCCUAUUACUGACACUGAGUGUGCGAAAGUUAGGGGAGCAAACGGGAUUAGAUACCCCGGUAGUCCUAACUGUAAACGAUGGGCACUAAGUAGAGGGGU